UACGUAGGGUGCAAGCGUUGUCCGGAAUUAUUGGGCGUAAAGAGCUCGUAGGCGGUGUGUCGCGUCGGCCGUGAAAACCUGCAGCUUAACUGUGGGCUUGCGGUCGAUACGGGCAUCACUGGAGUUCGGCAGGGGAGACUGGAAUUCCUGGUGUAGCGGUGAAAUGCGCAGAUAUCAGGAGGAACACCGGCGGCGAAGGCGGGGUCUCUGGGCCGAUACUGACGCUGAGGAGCGAAAGCGUGGGGAGCGAACAGG
rnacentral:rRNA from 1 species